GGUUCCGUAGUGAAGUGGUUACACGCUCGCAUCACAUGUGAGAAGUCCAAGGUUUGAGCCCCAGUAGAAUCA
rnacentral:tRNA from 1 species